CCUACGGGUGACUGCAGUGGGGAAUAUUGGGCAAUGGGCGCAAGCCUGACCCAGCAACGCCGCGUGAAGGAAGAAGGCCUUCGGAUUGUAAACUUCUUUUCUCAGGGACGAAGAAAGUGUCGGUACCUGAGGAAUAAGUCACGGCUAACUACGUGCCAGCAGCCGCGGUAAUACGUAGGUGGCAAGCGUUAUCCGGAUUUAUUGGGUGUAAAGGGCGUGUAGGCGGGAGCGCAAGUCAGAGGUGAAAACUCAGGGCUCAACGCUGAAACUGCAUUUGAAACUGUGUUUCUUGAGUGUUGGAGAGGCAAGUGGAAUUCCGGGUGUAGGGGUGAAAUGCGUAGAUAUACGGAGGAACACCAGUGGCGAAGGCGGAUUGCUGGACAGUAACUGACGCUGAGGCGCGAAAGCGUGGGGAGCAAACAGGAUUAGAUACCCUUGUAGUC
rnacentral:rRNA from 1 species